UACGUAGGUGGCGAGCGUUGUCCGGAAUUACUGGGUGUAAAGCGCGUGUAGGCGGGAGGCCAAGUCUGCGGUGAAAUCGCUCGGCUCAACUGGGCGGGGUCCGUGGAAACUGGUCACCUGGAGGACGGUAGAGGCGAGUGGAAUUCCCGGUGUAGAGGUGAAAUUCGUAGAUAUCAAGCGGAACACCGGUGGCGAAGGCGGCCUUCUGGACAGUGACUGACGCUGAGACGCGAAAGCGUGGGGAGCAAACAGG
rnacentral:rRNA from 1 species